rnacentral:rRNA from 1 species
UACGUAGGGGGCAAGCGUUGUCCGGAAUCAUUGGGCGUAAAGAGCGUGUAGGCGGCCUUACAGGUCAGCUGUGAAAACUCGAGGCUCAACCUCGAGACGUCGGUUGAAACCGUAUGGCUAGAGUCCGGAAGAGGAGAGUGGAAUUCCCGGUGUAGCGGUGAAAUGCGCAGAUAUCGGGAGGAACACCGGUGGCGAAGGCGGUUCUCUGGGCCUUACCUGACGCUGAGGAGCGAAAGCGUGGGGAGCGAACAGG